UUUCGCAGCCCUGAACCAGUGAGGUGCUGGUUGGAAGCCUGAGAAGGUUUGCGAGCUUCAUUGAUCUGAAUUUGUACUCUUAGAAACAGAUUUGGAUGCUACUCUAACCCAGGCGAGAGUGCGAUCGAACCGUGGAUCGUCGUUAGUUGACUUGUGAGAGCUCAUGGAGACUUAUCUUGAGCAGGAUUGCAGCCGUGUCGAGCUGAUUAGUGGGAUUUCUUGUGACUUUGGAGCCUUGUACCAGGUGGGUCGGACCUAACCAGAGCAAGUGAAGCUCCUCUAUGUUCUAUAUGUCACUAUUGAGAAUUGAUAUACACGUGUGUUAUUGUCACUAUGUAGUUGCUAAAGGAUUGGGAAUAUCCUUGCGAUAAGGCUUAACAUAAUGGACAUAGAACCUCUAUGAAGUAGAGAGCACUCAUGCAUACGUGUCUUUAUGCUUCUGUUUAUGUUUAUAUUUAGUUAAGUUAACUAAUGGUCAUACUAAUGAUGCUUUUGUAAAGUAGUAGAGAACAAUGAUAUUCUCGUGACUUUGUAGAGAACAAUGACAUUCUCUUAAUUCUAAAGUAGAAAACUAUAACAUGCUUAUGACCAUGUUGAUAGUGCCAUAAUAGUGGAAAGAUUAUAAUGCCAUGUGAUUUAGCAUUACUCUUACAUGUUUACAAUCUAGUGGAUACUCGUUCUUGUUACUCUUUGUGAAUUGAAAUUCCGAUCAGAGAAUCGAGGGUAAGAACAUUGCAAAUGAAAUUAUGAUAUUCGAGGCAUG